rnacentral:rRNA from 1 species
CGAGCGCACCCUUGUCCUCAGUUACCAGCACGUUAUGGUGGGCACUCUGGGGAGACUGCCGGUGACAAACCGGAGGAAGGUGGGGACGACGUCAAGUCAUCAUGGCCCUUACGGCCAGGGCUACACACGUGCUACAAUGGUGCAUACAGACGGUUGCCAAGCCGCAAGGUGGAGCUAAUCUGAGAAAGUGCAUCGUAGUCCGGAUUGGGGUCUGCAACUCGACCCCAUGAAGUCGGAAUCGCUAGUAAUCGUGAAUCAGAAUGUCACGGUGAGUACGUUCCCGGGCCUU